CCAGCCCACCUGCUGAUGAGACCCAGGUAAGAUCUCCUUCCCCGACUGGUACCCCAGAUCAGGUCCCCUUAAGCUGGGAUUCCCCAGAGGAGUUUGGGAGGGAAACCCGGGCAGAUCCGACCCUCCAAAAGUACAAAGACAGGGCAGAUGCUGGAGAGGAAGGGAUAGAUGGGGAACAGGUUAUAUAGGAUCCCUAAACCUUCCCAGAAGAGUGUUGCCUCUCCGCCGAAUCGCCAGUUAGUGGUACCUGCAAAGUACCGGCAGGAGAUUCUGCGGAUAGGGCAUGAUGUUCCAUUAGCUGGACAUCUAGGGUCCCGCCGCACAGCCUAUAGGAUCUCACAGAAUUUCUUUUGGCCAAACUUCAACCAGGCUGUGCGG